GGCGUUCCAACAGAGGUUCUCCAGCAUGCUGCUGCAGAAAACUCCCCCACAACACCAGGAGCUUCCCUCCCCCCUGGGAUACGUGCAAAGAACAUUUCCUUAGAUGUUAAGCAAUUCCAAAGGCAACCACAAGACUUCAUCAAAGCAUUGAGAAACUGAACUUCUUUAAAGAUUUGGUGUCUGGCAAGCGGCUGAAGAAGGCCUCCUCCAGUAGUUGUUUUCUUAAUCUAUAGGAUUAUGUAUGUGUGCAUUCUGUUAAUUUACCAGCAAUACUACUAUUCAAUUGGAAAACAAGAAAACAAAAAUAUACAGAGCUUCUCAAAGUGCCCCAUAGUGUCAGCUGACAGAGAAAACUUCCUCAUCCAAGUUCUACAAGAGCUCAGAGAAGAUGGAGCAAUGUGGCUUCCAUGUGAUAUCUUUGUUCAUCCCUCACAUACCCUGUUGGAAAAGACUGGAGCCAGUCCAAGUCAUAUGCCCUACUAUACAGAAAAAGUUUCCAAACAAAUAUCUCAGUCUUGUUAAAAAAGUCUAUGACAUUUGACACCUCUAUUCAUUUGUAUGUGCUGAUUAUAGAUACUUUAUCACAAAACUCUUAACAUGAUUUGUGUCUAGCCUUAGAUAGGUUAUCACUUUUUAUAAUAAAAUCUUCACUACCUA